UACGAAGGUGGCAAGCGUUGUUCGGAUUUACUGGGCGUACAGGGAGCGUAGGCGGUUGGGUAAGCCCUCCGUGAAAUCUCCGGGCCUAACCCGGAAAGUGCGGAGGGGACUGCUCGGCUAGAGGAUGGGAGAGGAGCGCGGAAUUCCCGGUGUAGCGGUGAAAUGCGUAGAGAUCGGGAGGAAGGCCGGUGGCGAAGGCGGCGCUCUGGAACAUUUCUGACGCUGAGGCUCGAAAGCGUGGGGAGCAAACAGGAUUAGAUACCCUGGUAGUCCACGCCUUAAACGAUGGAUACUAAGUGUCGGCGGGUUACCGCCGGUGCCGCAGCUAACGCAUUAAGUAUCCCGCCUGGGAAGUACGGCCGCAAGGUUG
rnacentral:rRNA from 1 species